GACGAACGCUGGCGGCGUGCUUAACACAUGCAAGUCGAACGGAAAGGCCCUGCUUUUGUGGGGUGCUCGAGUGGCGGACGGGUGAGUAACACGUGAGUAACCUGCCAUUGACUUUGGGAUAACUUCAGGAAACUGGGGCUAAUACCGGAUAGGAGCUCCUGCUGCUUGGUGGGGGCUGGAAAGUUUCGGCGGUUGGGGAUGGACUCGCGGCUCAUCAGCUUGUUGGUGGGGUAGUGGCUUACCAAGGCUUUGACGGGUAGCCGGCCUGAGAGGGUGACCGGCCAAAUUGGGACGGGAAUACGGCCCAGACUCCUACGGGAGGCAGCAGUGGGGAAGAUUGCACAAGGGGCGGAAGCCUGAUGCAGCAACGCCGCGUGCGGGAUGACGGCCUUCGGGUUGGAAACCGCUUUCGCCUGUGACGAAGCGUGAGUGACGGUAAUGGGUAAAGAAGCACCGGCUAACUACGUG
rnacentral:rRNA from 1 species